rnacentral:rRNA from 1 species
GACAGAGGUGGCAACGUUGCUCGGAAUUACUGGGCGUAAAGGGCGCGUAGGCGGCUUAACAAGUCACUUGUGAAAUCUCCGGGCUUAACUCGGAACGGCCAGUGAAACUGUCAAGCUAGAGUGCAGAAGGGGCAAUCGGAAUUCUUGGUGUAGCGGUGAAAUGCGUAGAUAUCAAGAGGAACACCUGAGGUGAAGACGGGUUGCUGGGCUGACACUGACGCUG